rnacentral:rRNA from 1 species
GAUGAACGCUGGCGGCGUGCCUAAUACAUGCCAGUCGAGCGAACCGACGAGGAGCUUUCUUCUCUGAUUUUAGCGGCGGACGGGUGAUUAACACGUGGAUAACCUACCUAUAAGACUGGGAUAACUUCGGCAAACCGUAUCUAAUACCGGAUGAUAUUUUGAACCUCAUUGUUCAAGCGUGGAAUUCGGUCUUGCUGUCACUUAUAGAUGAAUCCGCGCUGCAUUAUCUAGUUGGUAAGGUAACGGCUUACCAAGGCUAGGAUGCAUAGCCGACCUGAGAGGGUGAUAGCACACACUGGAAGUGAGAAACGGCCCAGACACCUACGGGAGGAAGCAGUAGGGAAUCUUACGCAAUGGGGGAAAGCCUGACGGAGGAAAGCCGCGUGAGUGAUGAAGGUCUUAGGAUCGUAAAACUAUGUUAUUAGGGAAGAACAUAUGUGUAAGUAACUGUGCACAUAUUGACGGUACCUAAUCAGAAAGCCACGGCUAACUACGUG